rnacentral:rRNA from 1 species
UACGUAGGGGGCAAGCGUUGUCCGGAAUUAUUGGGCGUAAAGAGCGCGUAGGCGGUCCGAUAAGUCGGCUGUGAAAGUCAGGGGCUCAACCCUUGAAAGCCGGCCGAUACUGUCGGACUAGAGUCCGGAAGAGGCGAGUGGAAUUCCUGGUGUAGCGGUGAAAUGCGCAGAUAUCAGGAGGAACACCGGUGGCGAAGGCGGGAUCCUGGGCCAGUACUGACGCUGAUGAGCGAAAGCGUGGGGAGCAAACAGG